GCGCGAAAACUUUACAAUGCGGGAAACCGUGAUAAGGGAACCCCGAGUGCCCGUAGAAUCGGGCUGUUGAUCUGUGUAAAAGCAGGUAAAGAAAGGGCCGGGCAAGACCGGUGCCAGCCGCCGCGGUAAUACCGGCGGCUCGAGUGGUGGCCACUAUUACUGGGCUUAAAGCGUUCGUAGCUGGGUUGUUAAGUCUCUUGGGAAAUCCACCGGCUCAACCGAUGGGCGACCAGGGGAAACUGGCAUUCUAGGGACCGGGAGAGGUGAGAGGUACUCCAGGGGUAGGAGUGAAAUCCUGUAAUCCUUGGGGGACCACCGAUGGCGAAGGCAUCUCACCAGAACGGCUCCGACAGUGAGGAACGAAAGCUGGGGGAGCAAACCGGAUUAGAGACCCUAGUA
rnacentral:rRNA from 1 species